rnacentral:tRNA from 1 species
GCGGCGGUAGCUCAGCGGUGAGAGCACGGGCGUGUCCCGAGGUCGCCGGUUCGACUUCGGCCCGCCGCG